rnacentral:misc_RNA from 1 species
UUGUUUAUUUUAAAAAUUAUAAACUCAGACAAUUAUACAAAAUAAAAAGAGUUAAGGGAGUUUUUCCUUUGGCAAAGACACAGCCACUUCUUAAUAAAAAGAAGUCACUGGUUGAUCAGCACGUAUGCUCAACAAGCGCUUCACCAAAGUAUUAAAAAUUUGAAUACACAAAAGGGUGGGAGAUUUCCUGCAAGCAGGAAAAAAUCUCGGUAAUGAUCCUUCCGCAGGUUCACCUACGGAAA